UACAGAGGUGGCAAGCGUUGUUCGGAAUUACUGGGCGUAAAGGGCGCGUAGGCGGCCUUCUAAGUCAGACGUGAAAUCCCCCGGCUUAACCUGGGAACUGCGUCUGAUACUGGGAGGCUCGAGUGCGGGAGAGGGAUGCGGAAUUCCAGGUGUAGCGGUGAAAUGCGUAGAUAUCUGGAGGAACACCGGUGGCGAAGGCGGCAUCCUGGACCGACACUGACGCUGAGGCGCGAAAGCUAGGGUAGCAAACGGG
rnacentral:rRNA from 1 species